rnacentral:rRNA from 1 species
ACGGGAGGCAGCAGUGAGGAAUAUUGGUCAAUGGACGAGAGUCUGAACCAGCCAAGUCGCGUGAAGGAAGACGGAUCUAUGGUUUGUAAACUUCUUUAGUGCGGGAACAAAGCGGCGUCGUGACGCCUGAUGAGUGUACCGCAAGAAUAAGCAUCGGCUAACUCCGUGCCAGCAGCCGCGGUAAUACGGAGGAUGCGAGCGUUAUCCGGAUUUAUUGGGUUUAAAGGGAGCGCAGGCUGCGAGGCAAGUCAGCGGUCAAAUGUCGGGGCUCAACCCCGGCCUGCCGUUGAAACUGUCCUGCUAGAGUUCGAGUGAGGUAUGCGGAAUGCGUUGUGUAGCGGUGAAAUGCAUAGAUAUGACGCAGAACUCCGAUUGCGAAGGCAGCAUACCAACUCGCGACUGACGCUGAGGCUCGAAAGCGUGGGUAUCGAACAGGAUUAGAUACCCUGGUAGUCCACGCGGUAAACGAUGGAUGCUAACUGUUCGGAGGGCGACCUCUGAGUGGUAAAGCGAAAGCGUUAAGUAUUCCACCUGGGGAGUACGCCGGCAACGGUGAAACUCAAAGGAAUUGACGGGGGCCCGCACAAGCGGA